AGAGUGCAUGGAGGUGCUCUUAAAAUAAAUAAAUAAAUAAAAAUCAAUAGAUAUUAACCGUCUCACGGUAUUGCUUGUUGUAGUGGUGUUUAUGUACUUAUAUUAACUCCUAAAUUGCAAGCGAGAAAGGAAGUGUGUGUUCAUUUCUACCACCCACCACUGAAUUCAGGUUUCCUUGUGGUACAUCCUUCUCGUGGCUUAAGCAGAUUUUCAUCUCAGUGGCUUGUCUGUGACUUUAGCUGCUCUGCUACGAUACCACUUCACACCUUGUGAUCAUGGACAACAUGUAUUUUGGAGACUCGUAUUUCAGCGUUAAUGAUGGUAAUCCAACCAUUUAUCUUCGUGGUUAUUAUGAUGACCUGAUGAUCAGCAUCUCCCUUGUCGCUGGUGUGUGUGUAAGCCUGCCAGCUUUGAUUUGGGCUCUUCAUGUUCUUUACACUCUCCACAAACAUGGAAGCCAAAUUUCAGCCUUCAUCAUCCUUCUCAUCAUCAAUGACUUGGCUGAGCUGCUCCUGAGUGCAAUUAUAGCAUCAAAUGCAAUAGACAGCCUUGUAAAGUUCAGUGUGACAAGAUCAUUAAAAACUUUAAAAGCUGCCAGAUAUGAAGAAGAUUUAAUAACUACCAAUACUAUAUCAAUGCAUUUAUUUAUGACAUUUAGAAUUGGUGGUCUUUUCCUCCACCAGCUUGUGGCUCUGAAAAACACGCUUUCUCUCAAAAACCAGCUCUGCUCUGCUCAUGUCUUCUCUCCUCUCUGCUCCACCAUUUCCUGUAUCAUUCUGUGGCUGAUUGCCUUCGGAUUACAGUUUAUAAAUAUGUGGAUCAGUGUGAUUUUUAGCUUUUUGCCUUUUUCAUUUUAGUCAUCACAUGCAUACUCACUUGCAAAGCCUCUCCUGCAUCUGACCAUAUCAAGCCCGGCUCAGCAGUGCUGAUAGUAUCUACACUCACACUUAUCACUUUCUGCACAACAGCUGGCCUUGUGCUUAUCUUACAAAUUAACUACAGUCCAUUUUACUUUUAUAGACCUUCACAUUUCUCAGCCUCUUUGAUCAGUUUGAGAGUGAUCUCGGACCCCCUGCUGUGUGUACUGGUCUGUAAGGAGCAGCUCAGGGUUCAUAAACAGCAAACUCACACAGACAUGAACACUGAUCAGAGAUCAGUUUGAUUUGAAGCCCUGAGUGUUAUAUGAAGAUAUCAGAAGAUGCAAGAAAUGUUCUUAUGGUUGUUAUCAGGCAGCUAUGGUCUUGAGAAUUGUGGAUAAAAUGGCAGUUUGUAAAUGAAAACGGAAGCUAAAAAUCUACUACAUAUCAAACAAUAGCAACACAAGGAAAGAGUCUUUUUUUUCGACAUUUUCUAGAUUAUAACAAUUACAGCAGAUAGUUCCACCAGUCAAACUUAAGCUCCUAUUAUUAUAUAUUACUUGCUGUUGUAUGCAAACAUGCAAAUUGUAUUUUUUAAUGAUUUAAAGGUUGCCUGUUCUUUGACACCAUUAAAAAUUCAAAAAAGGAAAGUUAUUUUCUUGUGUUUGCCCAUCAUUCAUAGCUAGAGAAAUCUCUGUUGGUUAGAUAAACCUCUGCUGAUCCCUUACUCUGGAAAUUAGCAAGCAUUAAAUAAUCAUGAUCAAAUCAUAUAAAGUUAACAGGAACAGCUGGUAAAAUAAACAUGUAUCCAUAUACACUGAUUGUUGAAGGUGUAAAUUAAUUCUAUCAACUUAAUUUUUUGCAGUUGUAUUUAUACAACAAUUUGUGUGAUGAUAAAGGUUUUGAGAGUCUAAAAAUGUUUGGUUUAGAUACCCUGA